AGCAGUCGCCGCGGGAAUACGUAGGGUGCAAGCGUUGUCCGGAAUUAUUGGGCGUAAAGAGCGUGUAGGCGGCUCGACAAGUCCGCUGUGAAAGUCCAGGGCUCAACCCUGGAAUGCCGGUGGAUACUGUCGAGCUAGAGUCCGGAAGGGGCGAGUGGAACUCCUGGUGUAGCGGUGAAAUGCGCAGAUAUCAGGUAGAACACCAAUGGCGAAGGCAGCUCGCUGGGACGUGACUGACGCUGAGACGCGAAAGCGUGGGGAGCGAACAGGAUUAGAUACCCCCGUAGUCCCUGUCUCUUAUAC
rnacentral:rRNA from 1 species